rnacentral:misc_RNA from 1 species
UAACCGCGUCCAGGUCAAUUGUC